rnacentral:tRNA from 1 species
GGAGGGGUGUCCGAGUGGUGUAUAUGGUGACGGUCUUGAAAACCGUUGUUCUCGCAAGGGGACCGUGGGUUCGAAUCCCACCCCCUCCGCCA